rnacentral:rRNA from 1 species
GAUGAACGCUGGCGGCGUGCCUAAUACAUGCAAGUCGAGCGAACAGACGAGGAGCUUGCUCCUCUGACGUUAGCGGCGGACGGGUGAGUAACACGUGGAUAACCUACCUAUAAGACUGGGAUAACUUCGGGAAACCGGAGCUAAUACCGGAUAAUAUAUUUAACCGCAUGGUUCAAUAGUGAAAGACGGUUUUGCUGUCACUUAUAGAUGGAUCCGCGCCGCAUUAGCUAGUUGGUAAGGUAACGGCUUACCAAGGCAACGAUGCGUAGCCGACCUGAGAGGGUGAUCGGCCACACUGGAACUGAGACACGGUCCAGACUCCUACGGGAGGCAGCAGUAGGGAAUCUUCCGCAAUGGGCGAAAGCCUGACGGAGCAACGCCGCGUGAGUGAUGAAGGUCUUCGGAUCGUAAAACUCUGUUAUUAGGGAAGAACAAAUGUGUAAGUAACUAUGCACGUCUUGACGGUACCUAAACAGAAAGCCACGGCUAACUACGUG